rnacentral:tRNA from 1 species
GGGAGCAGAUAAGCGCCUGGUGGGCUUCUCGGUUUUCAAAACCGAUGUGACCUGAACGGGUCAGGUGGGUUCGAUUCCCAUGUGCUCCCGCCA